rnacentral:sRNA from 1 species
UCACCAGAUCGCUGCCGCGAGAGGGUUGCUGUGCUGGGGCCUGGGUGGCGGCUGGAGGCCUGAGUUGGGCCCGCGGCAGGGGUCGGCAGGGGGCCGGGUGCAGGAAUGAUGGAGGAGGAGGAACUGGAGUUCGUGGAGGAGCUGGAAGCCGUGCUGCAGCUCACGCCCGAGGUGCAGCUGGCCAUCGAGCAGGUGUUUCCAAGCCAGGACCCCCUAGAUCGAGCAGAUUUCAAUGCUGUUGAGUAUAUCAAUACCCUGUUCCCAACUGAGCAAAGUGAGAAUCACGAGGCACAGAAAGAUAAAGAACACUCAGCUUAAAUGUGAUAGCAUAGCCCUGAAGGAAGCAUGCCAAAUACAGUGACAGCAGAACCCAGGGCCUUACUUGGUCAAGAUGGGUUGAAAAGGCUUACUCCCUUGAGGAAAUGGUGUUUUAGCUGAAUACUACAGACCAAGUUAAUAAUUUUUUUUUUGAGAGGGGUCUCACUCUCUUGCCCAGGCUGGAGUGCAGUGGCACAAUCAUAGCUUACUGCAACCUCAAAUUCCUGGACUCAAGCCCCUCAGUAGCUAGCACUACAGGUGUGUGCCACCACACCCAGCUGAGUAUUAUUAUUAUUAUUAUUAUUUUGAGAUGGAGUCUUGCUUUGUCACCAGGUUGGGGUGGGGUGGCGCCAUCUCGGCUCACCGCAACCUCCGACUCCCUGGUUCAAGCGAUUCCCCUGUCUUAGCCUCCCGAGUAGCU